CCUACGGGGGGCUGCAGUGAGGAAUAUUGGUCAAUGGACGAGAGUCUGAACCAGCCAAGUAGCGUGAAGGAUGACUGCCCUAUGGGUUGUAAACUUCUUUUAUAUGGGAAUAAAACGUUCCACGGGGGGGAUUUUGUAUGUACCAUAUGAAUAAGGAUCGGCUAACUCCGUGCCAGCAGCCGCGGUAAUACGGAGGAUCCGAGCGUUAUCCGGAUUUAUUGGGUUUAAAGGGAGCGUAGGUGGAUUGUUAAGUCAGUUGUGAAAGUUUGCGGCUCAACCGUAAAAUUGCAGUUGAAACUGGCAGUCUUGAGUACAGUAGAGGUGGGCGGAAUUCGUGGUGUAGCGGUGAAAUGCUUAGAUAUCACGAAGAACUCCGAUUGCGAAGGCAGUUCACUGGACUGCAACUGACACUGAGGCUCGAAAGUGUGGGUAUCAAACAGGAUUAGAUACCCCUGUAGUC
rnacentral:rRNA from 1 species